CUUAAUCAAGCUUUCCUUCUCUCCUCGGCCUCCUCAAGGCUCCUCUUCUCUGCCAAAAGCCAGCCCUUCCCUUUCUCCAUAUGACCAUCCGACUUCACCAUCUCCGCGUAAUAAUCAGGAGGCCUGAGAAAUGGAAUCCAAAAGACUUAUAGGUUGUUUUGGAACCAAUUCUCUAUUAUGAUUGAAUUCAGUUGUAAUAUUAAAAUUGAAAUCGAUUGAUAGAUGGAUUGAAUUCUCGUAUUUGGAGCAAAUAUCCCUACUGUGAUUUCAAUUCAUUCUGUUUCCUAUCUUCCUUGCUGUUCUCUUCCUCUCCCUGGAAACCCCAAAUUGCUACUAAUACUGGAAAGAAACAAACCAAAAUAGAACAAAGAAAAUGAUCCAAUUUACAUACUUAAGCACCAAGAACAACCCUUGAUUUAUGGAACAAAAUUUACACUAAACUGAUAGCUAGACCAUCAAACAAAUACACACAUAGCCUCGAUUCAACAAAGCUUAUGGACCCAAUUCAGAAUUAUUCAAACCCAAAUGAUGGUUUACCAUGAAGUUCAUAAGUUUAUACAAGAACAAGCUAAAACAUAGCUUGAUGCAAAAAUCAAAGACACAUAAAAGGGCCCAGUGACUAUACAAAAGCAAGCUACUUCAAUGUGAGAGAGAAAGGAAAACAGAAAUAAAACCAAGCAGGUUCAGGCUCAGAGGUGGCAGUUUACCUUGUUAGAGAGAGAUUGAGCUUUUGAAGUUGAUAUCGCAGAUACUGCAAGCAGAGCUAAAGAGAGAAGCCGAAUAUUGAAUUCUCACUCUAUUGUUGGUGAUGAAGGUGGCUUUGCUCCUAAUAUUCAGGAAAACAAAGAGGGUCUUGAACUGCUCAAGACAGCAAUAGCCAAAGCUGGAUAUACUGGAAGGUUGCUAUCUCUUCUGAUGAUGUUAAAGCUCUUUGCUCUUAAAAUCAUUGUGGAUGUUGCUGCUUCAGAAUUCUAUAAUAACGAUGACAAGACCUAUGAUUUGAAUUUCAAGGAAGAGAACAACGAUGGAUCACAAAAGAUAUCUGGAGAGUCUGAAGAAUGUGUACAAAUCAUUUGUGACUGUUUAUCCAAUUGUAUCCAUUGAGGAUCCAUUCGAUCAAGAUGAUUAGGAACACCAUGCUAAGAUGGCAUCUGAAAUUGGUGAGCAGGUGCAGUUUGUUGGUGAUGAUCUCCUUGUCACAAACCCUAAGUGUGUGGAGAAAGCAAUUAAGGAGAAUACCUGCAAUGCUGGAGCUACCAAAUCUAAACUGUUUUGCCCUCUAUUUCACAAUUUAUCAGGUGAAUCAAAUUGGUUCUGUAACUGAAAGUAUUGAAGCUGUGAAAAUGUCGAAACGUGCUGGCUGGGGCGUCGUGGCAAGCCAAAGGAGUGGUGAAACCUAGGAUACUAUCAUAGUAUAUCUUUCAGUUGGAUUGGCUACAGGACAGAUCAAGACUGGAGCUCCUCGCAGAUCAGAACGCCUUGCAAAAUACAACCAUGUAGAUGGAAAUGUCUUUCAACAUACACAGCUUAAGAUGAGGAAUCUCACAAAGUAUGAUUUUUCAUAUCAUACACAGCUUAAGAUGAGGACCUCACAAAGUAUAUUAUCCAAAUUCAAAGCAACACAAUAUGCAGGUCAAGGUGAAAGAAAAAACUAUCCCGUGGUCAUGCUCAUAGGAUAACUCACUUUUUCAUUCUGCUGAAACAGAACAGCUAGUUUUAACCAAAA